rnacentral:lncRNA from 7 species
CAGCAGUGUACUGAGGAAGAUGUCUGCUGGCAUACGGAGUAGAUGAAUCAUGAGAAUAGAAUGGACAAAUUAUGGAACCGUUUUAGGAUAGAGAGCCCUCUGUUCCAAGGAUCUGGGGGAGGAGAAGGGCAUACAUGGAAAAUGUGCGUACACAUGGCAGAGGCUAGGUUCUGAGAGCAAACAAAACCUGCCCUUGCUUCCAGAGCUCACUUUUGACACAGCUGAGUGCUGCCUCAAAGCAGUGCCGUUCCAGGAAGUGAUGUCUGCAGCACUUUUUCGGAGCAGGGAACCUGGCAACUCCCUGUUCAGGAGACGAUAUUGGAGUUGGCACAAUCUUCUGAAGAAAGAGCUGAAGAGGACUGCAUUCUCGUCACUCACGUCAGUAAACCAUCAUAUAGUCCAACAUGAAAGUUGCCGUGUGCCCUUCGCCACAGGAAACCAAUGCAUUAACCAAGCUGGCAGAAAGGAGCUGCCUGAAGAGGAACAAGCUGCAUAUUUCCACAAGCUGUGUAUAAGCCUUAUAUCUUCCUUAGUUUCUGAUAGCCAUAUAAACAACGUUAAUCUUCAAAACAAAUGGCAGCCAUUGUAAAAGUGCCUUCCUGUAAAUGUGUAGCUUUGCUUUUUACUUAAAGACACACCUAGCAGAACAAUAGCUCAGCAGGUACGAGCGCUGCUGAACAAUGCUCAGACUCCAUGUAGUUUCAAGUUUACAUCCUGCAGGCACUUUUGCAAGAGUGGAUAACAAUGUAUUCAGCUAGAAAUCCAGAAUUACAAAAUGAACACAGAAAAAAAGUAGGUCUAAUGUUAACUGUAUGACUAUCCCUAUAGCUAUUCAUAGCUAACCUUUGUAUAGACGCUAAUAAUGCUGCUCGUAUUGUUCACUCAAUUAGAAAAAAUGGCAUUUUUUAAAAGUAUUUUGUGUUGCUCCACGAGAUCUGAGAACGAACCUGAGGGGCUUCAAAAAGCCCU